GGAAAGGGUUUCCACGCUUUGUUUUGUUCAUUGGAGGUUUGAAUGUUGCAACGCCUAGGGUUAGUUCUCUUCUCAUCAAACUACUGUUGCAAGCGGCUGUGAAAGAACGCACAUUUGAUCACAAUCUUCCUCUUUGUGUCCUUUCUGAUGCGCGAUUUCUUCCUCUUCGCGUCCUUCGCGAUGGGCGAUUUCUUGGUUGCAGAGAUUUCUUGUGCGAUAAAAAUAUUUUUCGUUUUUAGACGAAAACAGAGGGGGAAACCCUCCCGGCUUCCCCUAAAUACGUAAACCCAGGAUCCACCUCGUCGGCUCGCCGUUUCCCUUGACGGAGUACUUGCCUCGCCGGUGUCCGUCGGAUCUCGCCUCGCUGUUUCCCUCACCAGUCACCAACCGAUCUACGACAUCUUCCCCUAUUCCUAUAUUUCUCGAAUAGAAUAGACUCAAACCCUAACCAGCGAAUCCGCGAUCUUUGGUUUGCUUCGUCAAUCGUCACCGGAAUCAUCGUCUCGUCAUAUCAGUGGUUCCCAAAACCAAGGGAUGAGGUUUAUGCCUUGUUCGGAUUGUAUCUUGAAAAAAAAUUUCCAACUCAAAAAACACUCGUUACCCCAACUUCCAAUCAUUUCUCUCAUUUAUCUCUCUAUUCUCCAAUUAUUAUUCUCAUUUCUCUUUCUAUCUCUCUCCACUCAUUACCCCUAUCUCCAAUUAUUACCCUAAUUUCUCCCUCCACCUAUUACCCAAAAAUCAAACUCAAAAAUUUUCAAAACGCCAUCCCAAAAAGGCAUUAGUGAUUCUCAACAUAUGUGAUUCCAGCCCUUCUUGUUCCAUCCAGAGGUAUUUCUUAGCUGUUUUCUAAUUGGAGUUCGACUACGCAUCAAUCUAAAUAUAACUGUUGGAACUUAAAACAACCUUCUGUAGGUCAGAACGGGUUUGAUUGCUUGUUCUGAUUUGGGUCUUCUUGGUUGGGUGGCUAUUCGUCAAGCGUUUUGAUCAAGUUCUUUUUUAAUUGGAGUUAAAAGGACAAUUACUAUGUGACGGUGUGUUUGAGAUCAUGCCAUAUUUGGCGCACUUGCGGCGCAAUUGUUCUCACCAUCUCGGGAGUAAUUUUGGGAUGAUCAACCUAUUCCAUGAUUUACGGGAAUGGAAUUUGGUUCGUGAGUAGUCCUAACGACACAAAUUGAGUGAAACAAGCCCUAAUUCGAAGAGGUCGUUCAGCUAUUCUAUACGUGGUGGAUUCCGAUUCCUCACAGUUUUUGCGUUGGGUUCUCCGAAUUAUGUUGAAAAGAUUUAGAGAGGAGAUUUAUUUAUGUCCAACGUCCAACAUCAUCUUCCCUCACCGGAGUUAUAUCCAAAUUUUUAUCUCUUACAAGAUUAUAUCGAGUAUUUUUUUUUUCCCUUUGCCUCUAUUAUGUAGUUCCACAUACGAAAACUGUUAAAGUGUUUUUUACUUAUGAUUUUUUCCGACUGAUGUGUAUUUUUUACAAAUGAUAGGGAUACAUUUGUACUCACUCCUCUGUCUAGUAAAUUUGAUUUGGAUGUACUUCUUGGAAUCACAGGUUUUUCAAAGUUGGACUUCUUGAAGAAAGUUUCAACCUAGAGGAAAAGUUCAUAGGAACAUUAUGGGGAGUGCUUAUCACGUUACUCCGAAGUAUUGAAGUGGAGUUAUGGGAAGGAUGCAUGAGUCAUUCUAUACAUCCUUCUCAGUGGAGUACCUCCAUUUUGGCUUGUUUUCUAUUCAUAUAUCGGUACCUCAAAGACUUCAUUUAUUCAUGGUUCUGAGAUUUUAAAAGGCGUACUAAUUAAUUACCAAAGUAGGCCAGCUUGUGUUUGGACUAUUUGAGCAAGCCAAACCGUCUAAUUUUGACGAGAAUGCCCAUUUAGUUUGGCCAGCCUUUUUGAAGGGCGAGAAAAUUGUACGAUUAGACAAGAAAGAAAUAGUUCAAUUGUCGGGACCAUCAUUAUCCCAACCUCUGUUCAAGGUCAAGAAAUGAUAUCCCACAACCUGUUCCAGGUUACAGAUUUAUAGAGGCUAUUCGUUAAAAAGAAUUGGGAGUGCAAAACAGAGGCAUCGAGGCUCUUGGAUUGGGCAUACAACAAAGGACUAGUGUGAUCUGUUGUGUUCUUGGCGGUUGGUGUUUUAGAGCGCCCAGGGGUAGACUGUUGCAGCGGUGUGAAAUUACGCGAAUCUGAUCACAAUCUUCCUCUUCGUUGUCUUUCUGUGGCACGAUUCGUUCCUCUUCGUGCCCUUUAUGAUGCGAGAUUUUCUGGCCGUGAGAUUUCUUAGGCGAUUUCUCCCACUUAAACAUAACAGGUUGUGAAGGACCACAGGAGAUUGAUGCCAUUGCCAAGCAACAAAGGGAUGCUGUCAACCAGUAUCUUUUUAAGCUUAGAGAAGCUAAAAAACAUGGAAGGAAAGAGAGAAGGCACAAGGAAGCCCAGGUUGUGCUAGCUGCUGCAACUGCUGCCGCUGCAGCUUCAUUGGAGAUCUCUUCACAAAGGAAAGAUUCGCCCGAUGAAGGGAACCUGUUGAAAGUGAACCAUUCGAUUGAAAGACCUGGGCUUUACUCUCAGCAGAUGCCACGGGCGAAGGAGGUACUUUCAAAGUUGGCUGUUCGACGGGUUUCAUCACAAAUAAAAUCUAAUUUUGGAGCAAUCUCAAGUUUUUCUGAAGAACAUCUGAGGACUUGUACAUUUGCUGACGGUAUGAGACAUUUCUCAACCAGAUUGUAGUGUGUUCGAGUUGCAAGUUUUUCGAACUAGACUCCACAACUGUUGAAAAGCUAAUGACAUCCUGUUGGGUUUUAACUUCUUUUUUUCCCUUCCUUGAUCUAACAGAUUGCGAUUCAUUUGGAUUGCUAUGCCUAUCGUAGUGUUAAAGAUUCUACGAGUCCAUGGUACUACGAAUUAUGCAAGGAUUUAUUCGCGUCAAGAAGUUCUUGAGGUUCAGUUAUGUAUUUUUGGGAAAAGCCUUAUUUUUCUCCAGAAUGUGGUUUAUGUGGGUGGCAGAGCUGGUGCUUUUAGGAAGUCAACUGAUGGUCAAUGGGUCCAUGCCUUCUGUGCUGAGUGGGUUUUAGAAGCAACAUUCAGAAGGGGACAAGUGAAUCCUGUUGAGAAGGAAUGAAAAGCUGAGGCAGAGUUCAGUUCUUACAUUCACCCACUUAUCCGCAACAAAAUGAUGAUAGUGUGGAAUGCGGUGCUUUCAAGUAACCAGUUUUCGUUUUACUUCUUUCUUUUAUGAGGGAUUUGUAAGCAUAUGAUUUAAUUUGCAAGUUCGUGAAGGGUCUACCACAGGAGAUUGAUGCCAUUGCCAAGCAACAAUGGGAUGAUGUACUUGUCAACCAGUAUCUUUCUGAGAUUAGAGAAGCGAAAAAAUGAGGAAGGAAAGAGAGAAGGCACAAGGAAGCCUAGGCUGUGCUAGCUUCUGCAACUGCUACCGUUGCAGCUUCGUUAAGGAUCUCUUUGCAAAGGAAAGAUGCGCUCGAUGAAGAGAACCUGUUGAAAGUGAACCAUUUGACUGCAAGACUUGGGCUUUACUCCCAUGGGUGAAGGAGACACUUUCAAAGUUGGCUGUUCCACGGGUUUCAUCAGAGAUAAAAUCUUAUUUUGGAGCAAUCUCAGGUUUUUCUAAAGAACAUCCGAGGACUUCUUACAUCUGCCGACGGUCUGAGACAUUUCUCAACCAGAUCGUAGGGUGUUCGAGUUGCAAGGUUGCGAUUCAUUUGGAUUGCUAUGCCUAUCGUAGUGUUAAAGAUUCUACGGGUCCAUGGUACUGUGAAUUUUGCGAGGAUUUCUUCUCAUCAAGAAGUUCUGGAGCUCCAGUUAUGAAUUCUAGGGAAAAGCCUUAUUUUUCUCCAGAAUGUGGUUUAUGUGGUGACAGUGCUGGUGCUUUUAGGAAGUCAACGGAUGGUCAAUGGGUCCAUGCCAUCUCUGCUGAGGUAAAACUUAAUUAUUUUGUUGACAAUUCAUUAGGUGAAAAACAAAGCACUAAGCUGGAAUUUGUAAGCUAUUUCUACUGUAUUUGAUCCAUACGUCAAAGAUCAUGUGAUAGUGAUGCUUAUCUCUGGUGUAAUGUAACAAAUUUCAGUCUUGAAGGGGAGUGAUGUUUGUUAAAUUUGUCAUCGCAAACAAGGUGUCUGCAUAAAGGUGCAGAUUGCCAUAUGAGUAUGCUUUUUUCUCCUCUUCCCAUCUCUGUCUGGAUUGUGAGUAUAUACUUAGAUUAAGAUAAUUGUUGCACCAACUUUAGUUUUAUUGGUCCGGAGUUCAAUUAUGGCCACUUUUAGAGCACUUUUCACCCUACCUAUGCUAGAACUGCUCGUUAGAUGAAUAUGUAGACAAGUGGUAGCAAGUUGCAGCACCAGGUGUAUUGUGAAAAGCAUAUCUCGGAGCAGAGAGGUAUGGUACCAUUUGAAGUCCUGUGCAAUAAAUGUCACGUGCUGUGGUGGUUUAUAUAUUUCUACCCCAUUUCAUAUUUGCUCUAUUGAUUUUUCAUAUGCGGAGACUCAAGGACAUGGCGUUGAAGAAUUGAAAAGUCUUAAGAAAAUUAGGAACUAGGGAUGAGGUUAGAAAUUCUUAACAUACGUCAUUCCAGCCCUUUUUGUUCCAUCCAGACUCCAGAGGUAUUUCUCAGCUGUUUUCUAAUUGGAAUAUGACUACGCAUCUAUCUAAAUAUGACUGUUGGAAACUUAAAACGACCUUCCGUCGGUUAGAAACAUCAUGCUAUGAAUUCUCUCUCGGGUUUGAUUGCUUGUUCUAAUCUGGGUCUUCUUGGUUGGGUAGCUAUUCGUCAAACGUUCUGAUCAAGGUAAGUGCCACAGCUUUCUUCUUUGUUGGUUUAUCUUUUGGCUGAUAAUUGGUUUAUCUUCUGGAAAGCGCCGCAGCUAUUUAGUUUAUCUUAUUUCCUGAAGUCCUAAAGAAACCUAUAGAAAAAUUAGAUUCAGAUACGCCUUAAUAUUUUGAUUACAAAAUUUCAUAAU